rnacentral:rRNA from 1 species
CCCUUAGAGUUUGAUCCUGGCUCAGGACGAACGCUGGCGGCGCGCCUAACACAUGCAAGUCGAACGAGCGAGAGGAGGUUUACUUUCUCAAGCGAGUGGCGAACGGGUGAAUAACGCGUGAGGAACCUGCCUCAAAGAGGGGGACAACAGUUGGAAACGACUGCUAAUACCGCAUAAGCCCACGACCCGGCAUCGGGUAGAGGGAAAAGGAGCAAUCCGCUUUGAGAUGGCCUCGCGUCCGAUUAGCUAGUUGGUGAGGUAAUGGCCCACCAAGGCGACGAUCGGUAGCCGGACUGAGAGGUUGAACGGCCACAUUGGGACUGAGACACGGCCCAGACUCCUACGGGAGGCAGCAGUGGGGAAUAUUGCACAAUGGGGGAAACCCUGAUGCAGCGACGCCGCGUGGAGGAAGAAGGUCUUCGGAUUGUAAACUCCUGUUGUUGAGGAAGGUAAUAGACGGUACUCAACAAGGAAGUGACGGCUACU